UACGUAGGGUGCAAGCGUUGUCCGGAUUUAUUGGGCGUAAAGAGCUCGUAGGCGGUUUGUCGCGUCGGAUGUGAAAACCCAGGGCUCAACCCUGGGCCUGCAUUCGAUACGGGCAGACUAGAGUAUGGCAGGGGAGACUGGAAUUCCUGGUGUAGCGGUGAAAUGCGCAGAUAUCAGGAGGAACACCGGUGGCGAAGGCGGGUCUCUGGGCCAAAACUGACGCUGAGGAGCGAAAGCGUGGGGAGCGAACAGG
rnacentral:rRNA from 1 species